AUUGAACGCUGGCGGCAUGCUUUACACAUGCAAGUCGAGCGGCAGCGCGGCCUUCGCGCUGGCGGCGAGCGGCGAACGGGUGAGUAAUGCAUCGGAACAUGCCCAGUCGUGGGGGAUAACACCUCGAAAGAAGUGCUAAUACCGCAUACGUCCUGAGGGGGAAAGCGGGGGAUCGCAGGACCUCGCGCGAUCGGAGUGGCCGAUGUCAGAUUAGCUAGUUGGUGGGGUAAAGGCCUACCAAGGCGACGAUCCGUAGCUGGUCUGAGAGGAUGAUCAGCCACACUGGGACUGAGACACGGCCCAGACUCCUACGGGAGGCAGCAGUGGGGAAUUUUGGACAAUGGGGGCAACCCUGAUCCAGCCAUGCCGCGUGAGUGAAGAAGGCCUUCGGGUUGUAAAGCUCUUUCGGCAGGAACGAAACGGUGGGCUCUAACAUAGUCCGCUAAUGACGGUACCUGAAGAAGAAGCACCGGCUAACUACGUG
rnacentral:rRNA from 1 species